UGCAGUCGAACGCUUCUUUUUCCACCGGAGCUUGCUCCACCGGAAAAAGAGGAGUGGCGAACGGGUGAGUAACACGUGGGUAACCUGCCCAUCAGAAGGGGAUAACACUUGGAAACAGGUGCUAAUACCGUAUAACAAUCGAAACCGCAUGGUUUUGAUUUGAAAGGCGCUUUCGGGUGUCGCUGAUGGAUGGACCCGCGGUGCAUUAGCUAGUUGGUGAGGUAACGGCUCACCAAGGCGACGAUGCAUAGCCGACCUGAGAGGGUGAUCGGCCACAUUGGGACUGAGACACGGCCCAAACUCCUACGGGAGGCAGCAGUAGGGAAUCUUCGGCAAUGGACGAAAGUCUGACCGAGCAACGCCGCGUGAGUGAAGAAGGUUUUCGGAUCGUAAAACUCUGUUGUUAGAGAAGAACAAGGAUGAGAGUAACUGUUCAUCCCUUGACGGUAUCUAACCAGAAAGCCACGGCUAACUACGUGCCAGCAGCCGCGGUAAUACGUAGGUGGCAAGCGUUGUCCGGAUUUAUUGGGCGUAAAGCGAGCGCAGGCGGUUUCUUAAGUCUGAUGUGAAAGCCCCCGGCUCAACCGGGGAGGGUCAUUGGAAACUGGGAGACUUGAGUGCAGAAGAGGAGAGUGGAAUUCCAUGUGUAGCGGUGAAAUGCGUAGAUAUAUGGAGGAACACCAGUGGCGAAGGCGGCUCUCUGGUCUGUAACUGACGCUGAGGCUCGAAAGCGUGGGGAGCAAACAGGAUUAGAUACCCUGGUAGUCCACGCCGUAAACGAUGAGUGCUAAGUGUUGGAGGGUUUCCGCCCUUCAGUGCUGCAGCUAACGCAUUAAGCACUCCGCCUGGGGAGUACGACCGCAAGGUUGAAACUCAAAGGAAUUGACGGGGGCCCGCACAAGCGGUGGAGCAUGUGGUUUAAUUCGAAGCAACGCGAAGAACCUUACCAGGUCUUGACAUCCUUUGACCACUCUAGA
rnacentral:rRNA from 1 species